AUUGAACGCUGGCGGCGUGCUUAACACAUGCAAGUCGAGCGGAGCGGCGAACGGGUGAGUAACGCGUGAGUAACUGCCCCCCUCUCUGGGAUAACAGUUGGAAACGGCUGCUAAUACCGGAUAGUGGGGGAUGACUCGGGUCCUAUGGGCUUGUUGGUGGGGUAGUGGCCGACCAGGGCGACGACGGGUAGCCGACCUGAGAGGGCGACCGGCCACAUUGGGCUGAGAUACGGACCAAACUGCAACGGGAGGCAGCAGUGGAAAAUAUUGCACAAUGGGGGAAACCCUGAUGCAGCAACGCCGCGUGCGGGAUGACGGCCUUCGGGUUGUAAACCGCUUUGAGCCAUGACGCGGUAGUGGCAGAAGAAGCACCGGCUAACUACGUGCCAGCAGCCGCGGUAAUAC
rnacentral:rRNA from 1 species